AGGAGCUUGCUCCUUGGAUCAGUGGCGAACGGGUGAGUAACACGUGAGCAAUCUGCCCUUGACUCUGGGAUAACUGCGGGAAACUGUAGCUAAUACCGGAUACGACCUGAAGAGGCAUCUUUUUGGGUGGAAAGAAUUUUGGUCAGGGAUGAGCUCGCGGCCUAUCAGCUUGUUGGUGAGGUAAUGGCUCACCAAGGCGACGACGGGUAGCCGGCCUGAGAGGGUGACCGGCCACACUGGGACUGAGACACGGCCCAGACUCCUACGGGAGGCAGCAGUGGGGAAUAUUGCACAAUGGGCGCAAGCCUGAUGCGGCAACGCCGCGUGAGGGACGACGGCCUUCGGGUUGUAAACCUCUUUUAGUAGGGAAGAAGCGUAAAAGUGACGGUACCUGCAGAAAAAGCACCGGCUAACUACGUGCCAGCAGCCGCGGUAAUACGUAGGGUGCAAGCGUUGUCCGGAAUUAUUGGGCGUAAAGAGCUCGUAGGCGGUUUGUCGCGUCUGCUGUGAAAACCCGAGGCUCAACCUCGGGCCUGCAGUGGGUACGGGCAGACUAGAGUGCGGUAGGGGAGAUUGGAAUUCCUGGUGUAGCGGUGGAAUGCGCAGAUAUCAGGAGGAACACCAAUGGCGAAGGCAGAUCUCUGGGCCGUAACUGACGCUGAGGAGCGAAAGCAUGGGGAGCGAACAGGAUUAGAUACCCUGGUAGUCCAUGCCGUAAACGUUGGGA
rnacentral:rRNA from 1 species